AAAUCCCUGUUUGAUGUGGAAAGCAUAUCAUUGGACAAUGUUGUGGUAUUUCACCUUUCUGAUAGGUCCAUCCACAAACUAGCAGAGUUUUCAGGCAGCGACAAUUAACACCCCGGAGCAUUGGGCCGGCCAUGGAUGCGGAGAUGCUGCGACCAACACGACCACCAAGGUCUAACGUGGUGGCAGAAAAGCGGGUAAUGGCGGGAGCACACCGAGACAAAGUCGGUGAGGGCGAGGGCAAGGACAGAGG